rnacentral:lncRNA from 1 species
AGGAGGGUUUGCUUGUGGGCAGAGUUCUUUGCCUCCAGUUGAAAUUUAAAGUUUGUCAGGUCCUUCAAUAGGUCUUCAAGCUCUUUUUCUUUGUCUAGUUGCUGAUUAAAGACGCAAGAAAAAGUAUUGGCAUAAAUAUUGAUCUUAUAGCUAGGAAAGUUUGAAUUAUAGUGACAUUUUUAGAAAUUGUAUUUCGGCAGAUAGAGUUUUAAUUAGUUCAACCGUAUUCUCCUAGAUUGAAUGAUCGAUACCGUGAGUUUAUUUGUUACUGCAAACUUAUAGAAUCAGUUUUGAAGUAAAUCACUGUUUGUUUGUUUUUUUAUAAGCAGUAAAGUUGAAUAUGAUUGAUUAUGGAAUGAAUAAAAUUCUUAGUUUCAACAUACAUUGUUGCAGGCAGGCCAUCUUAUUUUCUGAUCACUUUUCUCACCAAACAAGGACAGCGCAGCUUGGACUGAUUCAAUGGAUUUUGUGUCAAUUUCUCCCAUGCUUUCUUCUCAGGAGGUAAAAAUUUAGGAAGCUUAGCAACUGUUUUAGUAAUACAAGGAGAAAACAUUAAACAUAAGUUUUAAUCUACUUCAAAAAGGAAAAUAUCUAUAAUGAACGAAGGAUAUAUAUCAUAUGGGAUUACUGUUUAAAGUUUCAUUUUUCCAGAAAUAAAAAUGAAAAUAGAAUAGAAUUCUCAUAUAUAUAUAGUUUAGUUUGCAGAAACAAAAUUUAAAGAGAAACCUGAACAAACUGGAAACCUGUUUACCUGGGAAAUUUUGAUGGAGAAUAUGGCGAGGGAAGAGGCAAUGUGAAUGUUAAUCCUUUUAUUGUUUAUUUUAAGGAGAUUUGGAUGAGUGGAGGUGGCCAGUUUUUGUCACAAUGGAAGAAUUCAAAUGGGAUGAUGUUCUCAACAACAUUAAUUGUAGAUAUCGUCCAGGAACAUGCAGUUGUUUUUCUGAUGCGUAAUCAUUUUUUAAGCUGUUUUUUAUUAAUAAUUAUUUUGUGCAUUUGCACCGUAAUAAGCUUGUAAUGAUCUGGCCAAGUUUGCUUUCAUGUCAUUGUCUUUGUCUGCAGGAGCAGGAGAAAACUAG